GAUGAACGCUGGCGGCGUGCCUAAUACAUGCAAGUCGAGCGAACGGACGAGAAGCUUGCUUCUCUGAUGUUAGCGGCGGACGGGUGAGUAACACGUGGAUAACCUACCUAUAAGACUGGGAUAACUUCGGGAAACCGGAGCUAAUACCGGAUAAUAUUUUGAACCGCAUGGUUCAAAAGUGAAAGACGGUCUUGCUGUCACUUAUAGAUGGAUCCGCGCUGCAUUAGCUAGUUGGUAAGGUAACGGCUUACCAAGGCAACGGUGCAUAGCCGACCUGAGAGGGUGAUCGGCCACCCGGGAACCGAGAACCGGUCCAGACCACGAGGGGAGGCCACAGUAGGGAAUCUUCCGGAAUGGGCGAAAGCCUAACCGAGCAAAGCCGCGUGAGGGAUGAAGGUCUUCGGAUCGUAAAACUCUGUUAUUAGGGAAGAACAUAUGUGUAAGUAACUGUGCACAUCUUGACGGUACCUAAUCAGAAAGCCACGGCUAACUACGUG
rnacentral:rRNA from 1 species